rnacentral:tRNA from 1 species
CUCCUGGUUUGAGAACGCCCUGAUUUCACCUCUCCCAGAGGGAGAGGUCGACGGCCAAAGGCCGGCGGGUGAGGGGUUGAGCCCUAUCCGGAUGG